rnacentral:tRNA from 1 species
UCCUUUAUGGUGAAAUGGUAGACACGUAUGAUUCAAAAUUAUAUGCUAAAAGCGUGCCGGUUCAAGUCCGGUUAAAGGUA